rnacentral:piRNA from 1 species
AAUGGGAAGUACAAGAUAAACAAGGG